CCCUUGCACUCUUGCCAGUGUCCAGCUGUUCAUCUCCGGAGCGUCCUGCGGCUCCACAGGGCUGCCCAGGAGAGGGAGCGCCCUGCUGUCCACUUGCCUGGCGCCUCCGGUCAGCUCCAGCUGGGCCUUUCGGGGGCGUGCAGGCCCAGGAGGGGCGGGUCCCCACCCGGUUGUUCAAAUGUACUGAGGGGCUGACGCAGGGAAGCUAGGAGGCAGCAGGGUGAGGGCUCUGUGGAGGGGGUGCUGCAGGCACUUUUGAGAGGUAGACUUGGCAGCAGGUCGGUGAGGCCACCCAGGUGGCACCCCACUCCCUCCUCCCCCCCCAAUCUGCCCAGGGCCCCCUGCUGACCUAUGGAACCAGGAAUUCCCUUCUCCCAGCUCUAAUGGCAAGCAGAUGCUGCAAGUGGAAAAUCACCGCUUGCCUGGGCCGAGCAGGGAGUUGGCGGCUGUGCUGCCUGGUGUGUGCGCGCUAGGCGGGAGGACUAAUGAGAGGUGCUUGUCAAUGGGAAAGCCACUCUUCGCCUGGGUUUGCUGCUGUUCUGUUGCCACCAGGUGUCCCCAAGCUGGAGGUUGGGCUCCCCGCAGGACCGGUAGAGACAGCCCAGCUGGCAUGGGGGGCUUCCGUGGCCGCUUCCCAUCUCGGUAGUCCUGAGCCUCAGUUUCCUCACCUGUCAGGUGGGGGGGACAAUGACUGCAGAGGGGCAGUGAGGAAGGGAUCAGAUCCUGGUGGAAAAGCGCUCGUGUACCUCAGAGGGCUCUGCCCAGGCCCAGCAUCAUUGAUUCACUCCCUCUGUCCAGCCACGAGGCUCAGGGCUCAGUCCCCAGGUGACCUGUCCAGUGCUGGCCUACUCGGACACUGAGACACAGUCCCUGCACUGCCCACUUUCACACUCUACAUCACACUCUGAACAGCCACCACCCUGCCAUCAGGUGCCCCUCCCUAAAGAAAGGAACUUGAUUUUUAAUUGUCCCCUGCCAUGGGCCUCAUAGGUGCACCACCCCAGGCAUACACCACCCCAUACACCACCCCAGGCAACCUCAGGCCAGGACCUUUCCCUGCUGGGGGCUCUGGGCAGGGCUGUUUCCCGCCAGGGCCCUUCUGUGGGCCACAGCUGCUCCCUGGGUGACGGGUGUGCCCCCCUGAGUCAGCCGGGCCCCAGAACCUUGCUCAGACCUCUCAUAGUGCAGACACUCCUAGAGCACCUGCUGGGCUCCAGGCUGAUGAAUGGGACAGACAAGGCGUCUGCCCCCAGGGAGCUGAUGGCAAGCCAGGAAGCAGACCAGAAUCAGAUGAUCCAAACACAGCUAGGCUGGACCAUCUGUGAUGGAAGGUGCAUCUUGGGAACCUCUGCAGAAGCCUACAUUUUCCUCUGUCCCACAUUCUAGUUGUGGAGGACGUUGCUUCACUGGCCCAAGUUG